UACAGAGGGUGCAAGCAUUAAUCGGAUUUAUUGGGCGUAAAGGGCGCGUAGGCGGUAAGAUAAGUCAGAUGUGAAAUCCCGGGGCUCAACCCCGGAACAGCAUUUGAAACUGUCUUUCUAGAGGGUAGGCGGAGAAAACGGAAUUCCACAGGUAGCGGUGAAAUGCGUAGAUAUGUGGAAGAACACCGGUGGCGAAGGCGGUUUUCUAGCUUAUACCUGACGCUAAUGCGCGAAAGCAAGGGGAUCAAAC
rnacentral:rRNA from 1 species